rnacentral:sRNA from 1 species
UCUGAUUUCUCAUAUUACCCGGGG